GAUGAACGCUGGCGGCGUGCCUAAUACAUGCAAGUCGAGCGAACGGACGAGAAGCUUGCUUCUCUGAUGUUAGCGGCGGACGGGUGAGUAACACGUGGAUAACCUACCUAUAAGACUGGGAUAACUUCGGGAAACCGGAGCUAAUACCGGAUGAUAUUUUGAACCGCAUGGUUCAAAAGUGAAAGAAGGUCUUGCUGUCACUUAUAGAUGGAUCCGCGCUGCAUUAGCUAGUUGGUAAGGUAACGGCUUACCAAGGCAACGAUGCAUAGCCGACCUGAGAGGGUGAUCGGCCACACUGGAACUGAGACACGGUCCAGACUCCUACGGGAGGCAGCAGUAGGGAAUCUUCCGCAAUGGGCGAAAGCCUGACGGAGCAACGCCGCGUGAGUGAUGAAGGUCUUCGGAUCGUAAAACUCUGUUAUUAGGGAAGAACAUAUGUGUAAGUAACUGUGCACAUCUUGACGGUACCUAAUCAGAAAGCCACGGCUAACUACGUG
rnacentral:rRNA from 1 species